rnacentral:rRNA from 1 species
UCNCGCGCGCGCACGGNGGAGUAACACGUAUGCAACCUGCCCCUGUCAGGGGGACAACCCGCCGAAAGGCGGGCUAAACCCGCGUACAUGCCACCGGGGCAUCCCGGAGGCAGGAAAGGCUUCGGCCGGACAGGGAUGGGCAUGCGGCGCAUUAGGCAGUAGGCGGGGUAACGGCCCACCUAACCGACGAUGCGUAGGGGUUCUGAGAGGAAGGUCCCCCACACUGGUACUGAGACACGGACCAGACUCCUACGGGAGGCAGCAG